UGAGGAAUUUUGCGCAAUGGGAGCAAUCCUGACGCAGCAACGCCGCGUGGGUGAUGAAGGCCUUCGGGUCGUAAAGCCCUGUCAGGUGGGAAGAAUGUCCCGGGACUGAACAGGUUCCGGGAGUGACGGUACCACCAGAGGAAGCACCGGCUAACUCCGUGCCAGCAGCCGCGGUAAUACGGAGGGUGCAAGCGUUAUUCGGAAUUACUGGGCGUAAAGCGCGUGUAGGCGGUCCUGCAAGUCUGAGGUGAAAGCCCCGGGCUUAACCCGGGAAGUGCAUUGGAAACUGUGUGAGUUGAGUACUGUAGAGGAUGGGUGGAUUGCUGGUGUAGAGGUGAAAUUCGUAGAGAUCGGGAGGAAUAUCAGUGGCGAAGGCGCCCAUCUGGACGGUAACUGAUGCUGAGACGCGAAAGCGUGGGGAGCAAACA
rnacentral:rRNA from 1 species